rnacentral:miRNA from 1 species
UACUCCAUUCAUUCUGAGUAGA